AUAUAGCUGGAAUAUUGCUGAGUGCAGGGUAUAAUUAAACUCACUAUAAUGAACAAAUAUUGAAAUAUUGUUCAAUUUGCCUUCUCCAUUGGAUGACAUUUGCUUGAAAAGUAUAUGGCAUGCCAGCCUUAUUUUCAAAGACAGUCUACUGCACUGUUAUGAUUGGAGAUCUCACCGACUUGUUUUGCUCAAUGAUUGUUCCUAGUUGCUUGUGCCUGAGACUGAUGUUUGUGUGUGAUGUAUAACUUAUUUGUUACAGCUUGUAAGGUCAGUCUUCAGAAACAGUUUUGGUCAGUGUUGAUGUUUUUGUUUAGUUGGUUGAUAUUCUGUUGUAUUACUUGAGUUGUUAUGUUUAGUAUUGGCAUCCGUGUAUAUAAAGUGAUAUGGAAGAACACUAGUAGCUGAUUGCAGGUGUUGAAGAGGAGUUUUCUCACCUCUUAUACUUUCAAUCACAAGGUUGCUGAAUUGGUCACACAAAAUUCAAUAGAGAAAAAACAGUGUUGUUUUAUAAACUACCAUUUAAUAUGAGUUUGAAGUUUCAUGUUUACCCUAGGGUAAGAAGGUGUGGCCUGACAGAGAAAAGGUCUCGCAGGGAAGGCCUUGUAGAGAAGGUCUGGUAUAGUCAGAAGGCCUGUUAGAGUAUACCUGUUGAAGUCAGACGGCCUGGUAAAGUCAGACCGCCUGACAGAGAAGGUCUGGUAAAGUCAGAAGGCCUGGUAGAGAUGGCCUGGUAAAGUCAGACAGCUUGUUAGAGAAUGCCUGGCAAAGUCAGGAGGCCUGGUAAAGUCAGAAGGCCUGGUAGAGAUGGCCUGGUAAAGUCAGAUGGCUUGUUAGAGAAUGACUCGCAAAGUCAGGAGGCCUGGUAAAGUCAGAAGGCCUGGUAGAGAAGGUCUGGUAAUGUCAGAAGGCCGGGUAGAGAAGGCCUGGUAUAGUCAAAAGGGCUGGUAGAGGAGAAUACCUGGCAAACAGUGAAGGCCUGGGCCCAGUUCCACAAAGUGAUGUUAGUGGUAAGGUGACCAAAGCUCCCAUACCUCAACACAGACUUAUGAUCAUGGUAGCACUAAGAUUGCUUUGUGGAACAGGGCCCUGGUCAUUAUGGAGUAGCCCAGGCAUAUGUUGAGAAGGAUUGGUAAACAGCCCACAGUGUUUGCCACAAUCUGAGUGAUUCAAGAACUUUACUUCUUACCGCCGCCAUUUUGCAGAGUGUGGCGUAAAACAACAAACCAACAACCACAGAUAUAGCUCGGUAAUCUUCAUGCACUGAAUCCCAGGUGUAACAUAAUGGGGAUACAGUGACACAAACAUGUCAUGAUUCUAUACUGGUGUGACAUAUGUGACCGAUUUCGCUUUCAUUGAUUUUAUAUAAUUGUCAUAAUCAGGCAGAAUAGUAUGUUAGUUAUCCUGAACUAAUCAAUACUACUAGCAAACAGGAAUAAAAACAUAUGGCUUCACAAAUUCAUUUACGUCAAGCCUGAUUGUGUCUUCACAAUCCAAAAUAUUUUUCAAAUAUAUUUUCUGAACAGAGUUCCACCAUGUCACCUUCGCUCAUUAUUAACAUUAUUAAAAGGAACCCAUUUAUACUCUUUCCUCCAAUAUCAUCUGAAACUGAAAUAGCAGAUGUUCUUCAAAUGUUCACAGUGAAAUGAACACCACUUGUCGUGCAAGAUAGGCAGGUCUUGUACAGAGUUUAGAAGGGGACAGUGGCGUAGCUUAGUGGUUAAAGUGUUCGCUCGUCGAGCCCAAGUCUUGAUUCCCCACAUGGGUCAAAUUUGUGAAGGCCAUUUCUGGCGUCCCCUGCCAUGAUUUAGCUGGAAUAUUGCUAAAAUCAUACUAAAAAGUCAAAGUUCACAAACCUUGAUCAGUACAUAGAUGAUAUAUAUAUACAAAUGCUAUCUUAACACCUGACUUAUUCAAAUGCCAGAAAGUAUAACUAUAGAACAAUUGUCCAGCCAUGUCUGACUGGUCCAUUUUGAGAAUGUGAUUGGCUCGGAUUUAUACAAAUAGUCAAAUGGAUAAGAUAUUUUUAAACUGUCAGAUCUCUUCAUGGUAUAGAAAAAUGCAGAUAUAUUUCUUUCAAAGAUAUUUUUAGUAUAAGAGAAGGAGGCAGACAAAAGCGUUUUAAAUGUUCUGUGAAGUAAAUUCCUGAAAUCAAAUUAACAAAUAUACAGA